AACUGGAGAGAUGUGAGCGGAGGUGCAGUUGGCUGGACGGCAAAACCAUGGAUUGUGGCAUGCCAAUACGCUUUGUGUGCAACAUUCCAUACGCAAAAGUCCGUUUCAAUUUUUACAAACCAAGAAAAGGUGGAAGGACUCAGAGUAAUACAUUUAGGAGGGAUGACUGUUUUUCUUUUCUCCCACCUACCCGUGCUUGCAAGUCAGGUCUGAACUGUGCUGAAGUGUUUUCAUUGAUUCGUGUCUGUUUCUUAGAAAACUAGACGGAGAGUUCGCGUUAAUGCUAUGGUUUGUCCAUUUCAAUCAGAGAGUGAGUGGCACAUUCUCACCUCAUUUGCAAUUUUUAAUUCCAAUUGGACAUUGCUUUUGAAACGUCCCUUCUCCUUUUCCCGUUCUGCUGCCACUUGAAAGUUGAAAUGUAGCAAGAACGUAAUGCGAGGAGCGGGUGAGAGAUGAGAAACUGCCGGACCAGCCUUUGCAAAGUGGAUAUCGACACCGGAGUUCGCGCUGCAAGGCUUCGGAGAUUAAAAGAAAACCAAACGAGAAGUUCCCCGACGGGAGUGACAAGGACUUGGAGAAAAUAAAACAAUAAUAAUAACAAAAAAUCAUCUCUAAAUUGGCAAUGAAGGGGAGCGUUGCAGCCUCGGCGACGGCUCCCCGCUGCCCUCCCGUCCCUCCCUCCCUCCGUCCCGCGGCUCCGUGGAGGCCCCCAGGGCACCUGCGGAGGCCCGAGGCUGUGCCCUCAUGGCCUGGCCCGGCUCGGAGCCGCCCGGAGCCCCCGCACCGCCGAGAGCUGCGGAGACAGCAAGGAGGUGCGGUCGCGCGUGGCUGCGGAGCCGCUGGGACGUGAGUGAGCAUCGCGAGGGGGGAAUUAAGCACCACGCAGGACAGGGCCGGAGGCAGGGAACGACUGACCCCCCAAAAUCCAACAUCAAAGCAAACACACACACACACAAACACACACACACACAAAAUCCAACCAAAACAGCAAAUCAAAAACCACCCCAGAACAUACACGAAGCAAGAAGAAGAAAAGGAAAAGAAGCAGAGAAAAGAAAAAGAGAAAAAGAAAAAACUCAGUCCACAUCCAAUUCUUCCAUUUCACACUGAAUUUGUAAAACUCGCACGAAGGUCAGCUCCAAAUACCAAAGGCGCAAAGAAAUGGAUCGGUACACAAUUGAAGGAAAAGGAACGAUGGUAACUAUUAGUCACAUCGCGAUGUAUUAAAGUGAGAAUCGAGUCCUGGGGUUCUUUUUUUCUUAACGUUCCUGCUCGUCUUUUACUACACGGAGGUCUUCGGUUUGGGUCGGUAUCAGACGCAGUAACAAAACCUGGAAUUUCGAGGAAAGGAAGGACAAAGUGCGAGUGAGCGCUAACGAGGAUGGUCUUUGUUGAGGAAAAAUAACGUGUUCCUCGCAAACGGACGUUAAUAGCCUGUUUUCAUUUCAUGCGUACAAUUUCCUACCUUCUGCGGUGGAGGGUUGAUGGGGUAAAUAGUCUAAUCUGAUUGAGUUCACCUCCUGUGGAUUCCCAGUGACAGUCGUGACAGACGAAGUAUUCUGCAAAUCACAAGAGCAGCUACCAGGAGAGCCGAGUGUCUCAGCUGAGAAUUUUACGGACUUUAAACUGUUCCCUUUCAAAUUCUCUGAACACGCAAUAGGCGAAGUUUGUCCGUACCGCCGCAACUCUAUACGCUUCGUUUUCGAAGUUAGAAAAGGAUUUAUUCCUGCUUAGAAAGUGAAAAGAGAAGAGCACCAGAAAGGAGAUGAGAAGCGGGUCGGAGCACCUACCAGCUCAGGGAUGAGAUGGCAGCGGUCAUUGACAUUCCCACCUCCUGCCUCGUUAAAAAAAAAACAAACAGAAAGCGAUACUUGUGUGGAUGAGAAUUCACAAAAUAAAAUAGAAUUUAAAUAUUUGCAGUGUUUAAAUGUUUCCUCUCCAGAUGAUGCGGGAAAGGAGGGAAAAAAAAAUAGUUCCUAUACUCAGUAGAUGUUGCACGGCGCACAGAGCGCAAAUGACAGCAGCGCACUCCUCAGUGCCCCUCUGGUUCCCCGAGUAAAGUUCGCCCCGUGGUUCAGAAACACUUCGAAGGGGAAAAGUUGCGUGGUCAUACCGAAAUUUAUUUUUUUUAACGUGUUUCUCGAGCAAUUCGAGGUAUAAAUAAUGAAUCCGAUCUUCAGACGGAGGAAAUCACACCCACUAAUGCGAACUAACACGAGUAAAGUAGGUGCAUAAUAGACAAGACGAGGAGCUGCUAACCACUUCUGCACAGUGGCAUUAAUGAGAUUAACCCGGGCAAUUAGCCGGUGCAGCAGAGAUCAAGCCUAAAUCUGGGGCCUUUCAAAAAAGCCCAUUAAUGGAAAGGAUUACGUUAAUUUCAUUAAUUCUCAAUCCACAGACCCAGGUUCCUUUCACUCCUUUGUGCAACCCCCCAUC
rnacentral:lncRNA from 1 species